GGGAGCUGUAUAAGCUGAGAGGCUUACGUACAGUUCUGCGAGAAACUAGCGGGGAAGUUCCGCUGGUUUACUCACC
rnacentral:ncRNA from 1 species